GGAGGGGUGCCUGAGUGGUUGAAAGGGACAGUCUUGAAAACUGUUAAGGGUGCAAGCUCUUCGAGAGUUCGAAUCUCUCCCCCUCCG
rfam:Parcubacteria bacterium GW2011_GWB1_45_7 TX16_C0008, whole genome shotgun sequence.